AAGUGCAGAAAAUGAGGGUUGAAAUGGCUGCCAUGAAGAGGGACGCUGAGCAUUAUUCACGCCAGGUAACUGUUAAAAUUGAUUCACCUUUUAAUUAGAAGUGUGGUUGUCAAUUGUAUUGAUGAUGUAUAAACUGAAAGCGCUUAUUAUAGUGACUGUUGAACUUUGUGAAGCCUUAAAUUUCAUUGCUUAUUUGAUUUAUGUAGUUGUAUAUCAACUAUCAAGUUAUAUGGCACUGAUUUACUGUUGUUGAUGUCUUAUUUCUUAAAUUUUCCAUCUCAUCUGAAACUGUGAUGAAAUUCAGUUCAUCAGUUGCUUUCCGUAUGCUAGUUUAUAAAGUAUAUUUCAAACCAGGCAUUAUUUUAUUUUCUAACCCUCAUUUUUUAGCAUACUUUUCUUAACAUGGAAGAAUAAGCUAUGAUUUUGACCUUGAUGUUGAUGGAAGUCGCAUUAUUUAACACCAAAACCCAUAUUUUACGGGUUUUUCAAAGAAGAAAAAUGCUGAGAAUAGAUGGUCUCUGCAAAAAGAUGGGCUACAAGGACGCCAAGUUACUGAUGCUUUACGGGGGAAGAAGUUCUAUUAAUAGGUAUUUACAAUGGAAGAGUGGUAAGGUUUGGAGCAAGUGAUUUUCAGCUGGGGAUGAUUCUUGUAAUUCUUGUUCUGAAUUGGAGCCAGCUUUGUGCAGGAUUUAUAUCUCAUUCUCAUGCAACAUGCUACCACUUGGGUGAUACAGGUUAAAAAGUUGCAGCAGCAGUUGCAGAAAGAGACCGAUUUGCACUUAGCUCUAGCAAGUGCUAUUGAACAUUGUGGUUCACCUUCUUCUAGUUCUCCAGGCAAGCUUCCAAAUAAGGCCUAGGAGCUUUUAGAUAGCAUAGUUGUUCUCGAGAUUACCGUAGCAAAGUUACAGCAAGCAUUACACCAGGGACCGUGUUAAUUUUGUUGGCUGGAAGGUUUAUGGGGAAGAGAGUUGUUUUCUUGAAGCAACUUACGUCUGGGCUCCUUUUGGUCACCGGUGGGCAUUACAUAUUUUACUGCUAUCCUUGUUUCGUCAUUCAUUUGCUUACUUCUUGAAAAUAUUGGAUGUAUGAUAUAUGUUAUUCAAUUGCGAGCUGGAUAUAUGAACAUGUUUGUUAAAACCCUUGUUAUUGAUUUCUGCAGUAUUACUUCCAUAGUUUCUCA